rnacentral:rRNA from 1 species
UACGUAGGGUCCGAGCGUUGUCCGGAAUUAUUGGGCGUAAAGAGCUCGUAGGCGGUUUUGUCGCGUCUGCUGUGAAAUCCCGAGGCUCAACCUCGGGUCUGCAGUGGGUACGGGCAGACUGGAGUGCGGUAGGGGAGAAUGGAAUUCCUGGUGUAGCGGUGGAAUGCGCAGAUAUCAGGAGGAACACCGAUGGCGAAGGCAGUUCUCUGGGCCGUAACUGACGCUGAGGAGCGAAAGCGUGGGGAGCGAACAGG